UAUAUCUGGUAGUAAACUCGCAUAUAAAAUAAUUGAAUUUCUUAGUGGGAAUAAGUAAGUCUUCCCGGUUCAUUCGAGUACGUGUUACAUAGCAUCGUGAAAAGUCGUAUUAAUAGUUCAACUAUGUUGUAAUUUCGUUUUCGCCUAUUUGAAAUUAUUCAGGAAAUUUGUAUCGUAAAGAGAGAGGCUUUCAAAGGAAGUAAUCAAUAGUUGUAUUCCAAUAUCACAUAUGCUUACACAACAAGCUGUAAUACUUUGCCAAAUAUUCACAUUCAUACAUUACUUUAUGAAUUUAUGACUUUUUCUGCUACGUAUUUAUAGUUUUAUUGGAUGAUUAGGCCUCACAAUGGCCGCAAUUUAAUCUGUUGUAGUGACCGCGUUUCUGAUGGCCGUUUCGACUUUAACCAAAAAAAACAUGUUCCUUCACUUGAGAAUAUCUUUCUUGGUAUGAUGGCUACCUAUUUGGUCGAGAAGCCCAAUGUUGCAGACUGAGGUGCUUGAACUAAACUUCAACUCAGCGGUUGGCGCAUUGUGCUAAGAUUCAGGAACGUACUUGGCAUUGUGCCGAAGAUUACCGGACGUGGGUUUCAAAAUUCGAAAUCAGUCGGGGAUAAUUAUGUGCGAAAAGAUUGCAGGAUUUCUCGUCACUGUAGAAAGGUUCACGUAGUAAGAACUGCGACUUCCUCUACCAUCGAAGUGUAUGCACCAAGACGUAGGUAAAGAUAUAAUUCCUAAAUCAGAGGUAUACCGGAACCACGGCUCGCCAUAUGAACAAGCCAUGCAUGUUAUUGGCCUUCUUCUUCGUCGGAACGAAUAUGAAAGUAUUUACUGAACGUGAGUGUAUUGCUAGCGUCACCCUGCAGUCGAUAUAUAUCGUUGAGAUCUGUUCGAACCCAGAGCAUAAGGGAGUAUGGGGAAGAGUUCGAAAAUUGUAUUGAUCUAGGAGUCGAAAGUCGAUACGUCCAAUUAAAAAUCCUUUUUUUUUUCAACUUUUCACGUGGAAUUGGGGCACAAAUUGAAAAUUCCGUCAAACGGGAGUCGGGGUAGUUCUCUUGAAUAGAGUUUUUAUGAUAAUACUGCUCGGAUGGAGAUACUGAGGAAAUAUUCAUACCAAGCCCAGAAUUUGCUUUCUAUUUUGCAGGGAAUUGAAACGGUCAGAUGGUGGCACUUUAAGUCUGAAAGUCUUUUUCGUCAAAUUACGUUUAUGAAGCAAGAUUAAAUUUAAAAAGAUGGAAAUAUGAGUAAUGUAACGCACAUCUGUUGUCUUUCAUACAUUCAUUAAUUUUUUAGAUAAAACUUAGUCACUCUCUAUCUUCAAAUACGAUUUUCAUUUUCACAUCCUUCAUUUCGAUUUAACCAUAAAUUUAAGAUCAGAACUUCACUGCACCUAAGCAUUCCUGUCUACUUACAACGUUCAAUAUCGCCUGAUUGUCUCCAUUUGUAACUAGCUGUAGCUACUACUCGGGAAAGAGGUACUCAAUUCAUUGAAGUGGCCCUUACUCGCCUAUCCAUAAUUUUAUUUGGCGGGUUGAAAUUAUGACACAAAAUGUUAUAAAAGUAUGUAAAUAAACUUGCAUUUAAGUGUAAAAUGUUUUAAAAAUUAUAUGUAUCAUCAUUUAUAAUGAUUACCGGUAUAUAACUAUAAAUGCGGACUAAACUUUUGAAUACAAAAUGCUUACAUAUUAUAUCGUUAUUUACUUUAUACAAAAAACUAACUAACAUACCUAACAUAACUGCACUUGUGAUAUUAUACUUAUAUAUAUAUCUAGAUACAUAGUGAUUCCUUCGCAGAUUAUACGGCCUGCCACGGUUAUGACAAACUCUAGGGCGGUGCUGCAAACGAUGAUAAAGAUAUAUUGAGCAUCAUGCUAUAUGUGGAUUUAUGAACUAUCUUGGAAAUUUACGUGACACAUUAUCACAUGUGUGAAAACAUCAUUCAAAAUUUCGAUGGCGUCAUCGUUUGUUGUUUCCUGCAAGAAGAAAUUUAAUUCCAGUCGCUCUAGAAGUGUAUGUACCAAUAUGGAGAGCAUAGACACCAGACCCAAACAACACGACUUGAACUCUUCUAUUAAUUGCUACGAAGAAGAUGAAUUUUUAAUCUUUCACUGAAUUACUACAUACCUUGGUUUGUGGCAGCAUAAAUUAUUACCCGCCAUGGUUUCUAUUUAAAAAAGAUAAUAAUUUUUGAACGCAUUUAUUGUAAAUGCAUCUUUUUCCUUUUGAAAACCCUGUCUAGGACUCUAGACAGUACAUGUACGAAGCUACUUAACUCGUUUAGGACGUCUGGAAUCAUCCAGGUUCGGGGUAACGUAUAUGCAUUUAUCCCGGCUGUAUAUAACUGCAUAAUAUGAAAAGAUUUUCCUCUGUAUAAUUACUUUAUUCUCCGAAUAAGCAUUUGUGAAUAUAUAUAUAUUUUAGUGAAAUAUACCAUGGGGAAGCGGAAAUACCCAUGUGAACUUUUAGAAAAAGUCUGGAAAAAGUUCAAAAGGUUUUUAGUUGGAAAGAUUGUACCAAUAAUGACCCUUUAUUUUGCCUUAAAUUUUAAUUAUGAUAAAUAUACAUUUGGUAAACAAGAUUGCUUUUAAAAGAAACAAUGAUGUGAUUUACGAUUAAAAAUAUCAUCGCAAGACAUUUAUCUCUAAUUCGACCCAGCUUCAUUAUAACACUCAUUAUAUAAAUAUUACUGUUUAUUUUUGUUGUGUCAAUAUUGACUAUACUAAUAGAAUAAAUCAUACCUGCGGAAAUUAUCAGAGUCACUCUAACGUAUUCAUGUCUAUGCAUAGCACGCAUGUAUGCUUUGCUCGAAUGUAAAAUGAGAAACAAUUAACUUAGUUUGGAAAAGAGUUCAUAAAAUUGACAUAAAAAUUUACUUUACGUGAUAUAUUACUAUGAGUAUGAAGUAGCAAUCAAGCAGAUAUUUUCAAGAAUGUAAAAGAUGGUAGAUGUAUAAAUCUUUGAUAUAGAUCCAUAUACAUGAAUACAUAAAAUAGGAAAUGUGUCAUGCGAUUCGCGCAAACGUGCGUAUUGCAUCAAAUAAAAAUUUGCAUAAGCAAUAUUGACAAUAUUAACGAAAAAAAUUUGUACUCCAAAGAAGCUCUCAGCUCUUCCAAUUUUGGGUGCCCUCGUUUCUUGAUACUAUUUCUUUCAGUGCCAUUCAUUGUCACAAAAGAUAUAAUACACGUAGAAAAUCCAGUAAUUUAGUAAAAACGUUUGACACAAGUAUUUCAGCCUGUCGAUUACAUUCCUCUUGACGAUUUGAAAAAUUUAUGG